GAUGAACGCUGGCGGCGUGCUUAACACAUGCAAGUCGAACGGAAAGGCCCAAGCUUGUUUGGGUUCUCGAGUGGCGAACGGGUGUGUAACACGUGGGUGAUCUGCCCUGCACUUCGGGAUAAGCCUGGGAAACUGGGACUAAUACCGGAGAGGACAAUGGGUAGGAUGGCAUUGUGGAGAGCUUUUUCGGUGUGGUGUGAGUACGCGGCGUAUCCGCUUGUUGGUGGGGUAGUGGUAUACAAAGGCGUCGCCGGGUACCCGGACGGAGAGGGUGAUCGGCCAUACUAGAACGGAGACACGGUCCAGAAUCCUAAGGGAGGCAGCAGUCGGGAAUAUUGCAGAAUGGGCGAAAGCCUGACCAAGCGAGGCCGCGUGAGUGAUGAAGGCCUUCGGGUUGUAAAGCUCUUUUAGUUGGGAAGAACAGCUGUGUAGGGACGAGUCGAUGUUUUGACGGUACCUAGAGAAGAAGCACCGGCUAACUACGUG
rnacentral:rRNA from 1 species